CCUACGGGUGGCAGCAGUCGAGAAUUAUUCACAAUGGGGGAAACCCUGAUGGUGCGACGCCGCGUGGGGGAAUGAAGGUCUUCGGAUUGUAAACCCCUGUCAUGUGGGAGCAAAUUAAAAAUAUAGUACCCCAAGAGGAAGCGACGGCUAACUCUGUGCCAGCAGCCGCGGUAAUACAGAGGUCUCAAGCGUUGUUCGGAAUCACUGGGCGUAAAGCGUGCGUAGGCUGUUUCGUAAGGCGUGUGGAAAAGGCGCGGGCCCAACCCGCGGACGGCACAUGAUACUGCGAGACUAGAGAAAGGGAGGGGGAACCGGAAUUCUCGGUGUAGCAGUGAAAUGCGUAGAUAUCGAGAGGAACACUCGUGGCGAAGGCGGGUUCCUGGACAGUAACUGACGCUGAGGCACGAAGGCCAGGGGAGCGAAAGGGAUUAGAUACCCCUGUAGUC
rnacentral:rRNA from 1 species